AAUGACACAGAAGAACUGGCAAUG
rnacentral:miRNA from 1 species